AGCGAACCACAACGGCUUCCUGACGUGGUUCUUCAUUGGCGAUUGGAGCG
ncrna:Roseobacter denitrificans OCh 114 SAM/SAH riboswitch